rnacentral:lncRNA from 1 species
UCCUCCUUACUGGCUACUACGUUGCGCUGGAGUCGCCCGUCCCUUGCCUGUGUCUCCCAUUACAGGCAUUGAUUCAAUAACUAUGUAGGACGAACGUACUCUGCAGCUAUUGACUCAACAAGCAUCUACGACGUGCCAGGCACUUUUCUAGGCCCAGGAUAUGGGACACUGAAGACCACCGCUCCUGACCUCUGAAAGCCUCUGUUACUAGGGCUGGACAGGCACUGAUGGCGGAAAUUAGACAGAGAAACAGUCUGGCGUAUGGAAGGCAUGGAGAGAGUGUAUGGCGACGCGUGGAAGCUGUACGGAGUCCAGGCUUCAGCGACUGCGGGAAGGCCUGUGCGCCUCGGCCACUACGCUCUGUUGAUCACAGCUCUUCCGCUACGAGAGCAGAGGAGUUCUUAGGGUGGAGACCAGAUGGCUUGGGAGGCCGAGGACGACUACUUUCUGUCCCCUGCCUGCCGAGGGCUGGGUGGCCCCUGGCCUGCAGGAGGGGCCCGGGCUGGAGCGCGACAAGCUCGGAUUCCGGGAAUGGCUCCGCGGAUGACCUCAACUGUCCACGUGGAUUCGCUCACCGGCCAAAUGGUAAGGAGAAUGCCUCGCAGUCUCGCAGAGACUGAGGAAGAUGUCAUCACACAGAGCUCCAGGGGAUGGUGAGUGCUGAAAUAAGUGUGUUUAUUGACAAGAGUUGAUGGUAAUUCCGGCUUUCUGGAGAUAGGAAUAACCUUUGGAUAAGGUACAUAGGAUAGAUAACACUGCAGCACUGGUCUCAGGGCCAGAAGGGCCGCUUGGGGAUUGUCAGGGGAG